GGUCAAUGGGGGGAACCCUGAACCAGCGACACCGCGUGAGGGAAGAAGGUUUUCGGAUUGUAAACCUCUGUUGUCGGGGAAGAUAAUGACGGUACCCGAUGAGGAAGCCACGGCUAACUACGUGCCAGCAGCCGCGGUAAUACGUAGGUGGCAAGCGUUGUCCGGAAUUACUGGGUGUAAAGGGAGCGUAGGCGGGAAGGCAAGUUGAAUGUUAAAUCUAUCGGCUCAACCGAUAGCCGCGUUCAAAACUGUCUUUCUUGAGUGAAGUAGAGGCAAGCAGAAUUCCUAGUGUAGCGGUGAAAUGCGUAGAGAUUAGGAGGAAUACCAGUGGCGAAGGCGGCUUGCUGGGCUUUUACUGACGCUGAGGCUCGAAAGUGUGGGGAGCAAACAGGAUUAGAUACCCUGGUAGUCCACACCGUAAACGAUGAUUACUAGGUGUGGGGGGUCUGACCCCUUCCGUGCCGGAG
rnacentral:rRNA from 1 species